rnacentral:rRNA from 1 species
UACGAAGGGGGCAAGCGUUGUUCGGAAUUACUGGGCGUAAAGGGCGCGUAGGCGGCCUGAAAGGUCAGCUGUGAAAACUCGAGGCUCAACCUCGAGACGUCGGUUGAAACCAUCUGGCUAGAGUCCGGAAGAGGAGUGUGGAAUUCCCGGUGUAGCGGUGAAAUGCGCAGAUAUCGGGAAGAACACCCGUGGCGAAGGCGGCACUCUGGGACGGUACUGACGCUGAGACGCGAAAGCGUGGGGAGCGAACAGG